CCCGGUAGCCGGGGGUGCCCGUCGCGAGCGGAUCGCGGGGCUGAGAUCACACCCUUGGAACCUGGCCGGCCUUGCCGGCGUAGGGAUGGCUCGACACGACGCGC
rnacentral:ncRNA from 17 species